GGAUUCGGGUGCCGCCAGGCCUCGGUCCGCUCGCCUUCGGCCUUGGCGCACCUUCCCCGGUGCCAAGUCCGACGAGCGGGCGGGGACCUGGCGGCAUCCGUCGAUCCGG
rfam:Actinokineospora spheciospongiae strain EG49 contig1281_5, whole genome shotgun sequence.